rnacentral:rRNA from 1 species
AGAGUUUGAUCCUGGCUCAGGAUGAACGCUGGUGGCGUGCCUAACGCAUGCUAGUCGAACGAAGCGCCCGCGCGGAUUCCCUCGGGAUGAAGCGCGGAUGACUGAGUGGCGGACGGGUGAGUCACGCGUGGGCAACCUGCCCCGGGCCGGGGGACAACAGCCGGAAACGGCUGCUAAUACCGCAUGAUCCGGGAGGGCCGCAUGGCCCUGCCGGGAAAGCUCCGGCGGCACGGGAUGGGCCCGCGUCUGAUUAGUUUGUAGGCGGGGUAACGGCCCGCCAAGACUGCAAUCAGCAGCCGGCCUGAGAGGGCGGCCGGCCACAUUGGGACUGAGACACGGCCCAGACUCCUGCGGGAGGCAGCAGUGUGGGAAUAUCUGCACAAGGAGGAGAAACCCUCGAUGACCGCGUACGCUCGCGUGUGGCGACCAAGCGCUCUGGCGUGUAAAGCCAUGUCAGCAGGGAAGAAUAAAUACAGUACCUUACCAAGAAGCCCCGUCUAAUUACUUGUCAGCAGCCGCGGUAAUAAGUAGGGGGCAAGCGUUAUCCUGAUUCUCUGGGGGUAAAGGGAGCGCAGGCGGCACUGCAAGUCUGGUGUGAAAGCCUGGGGCCCAUCCCCGUGACUGCAUUGUAAACUGCCGGUCUGGAGUGCCGGAGGGGUAAGCGGAAUUCCUGGUGUAGCGGUGAAAUGAGCAGAUAUCAGGAAGAACACCGGUGGCGUAGGCGGCUUACUGGCCGGCAACUUACGCUGAGGCUCGAAAGCGUGGGGAGCAAACAGCAUUAGAUACCCCGGUAGUCCUCCCCGCAAACGAUGAAU